UACAGAGGGUGCAAGCGUUGUUCGGAAUUACUGGGCGUAAAGGGCGCGUAGGCGGCUUUAUAAGUCAGAUGUGAAAGCCCGGGGCUUAACCCCGGAAGUGCAUUUGAAACUGUAAGGCUAGAGUGCAGUAGAGGUUGGUGGAAUUCCCAGUGGAGAGGUGAAAUUCGUAGAUAUUGGGAGGAACACCGGUGGCGAAGGCGGCCAACUGGGCUGCAACUGACGCUGAGGCGCGAGAGCAUGGGUAGCAAACAGG
rnacentral:rRNA from 1 species